rnacentral:lncRNA from 1 species
UGCAAGAAUAAAAAAUAAAUUUUCGCACAUCUGGUGCUUAGAGUAUAUUAUGAAGAAUCAAUGCAAAGCAUUCUUGCAUCUCCAAUUUGUAAGUGUCAAUUCCUAGCACAUCAACACUGGAGUCAUUCCCCAUUAGUACUUUUUUGCUAGUUAGAACUCGAUGAUACUCCACGAACCCUGUCCGAUCACGUGCUAUGUGGUCCAUUGCUCCGGAAUCUACAAUUCACACAUUGAGAGAAUGACCAACGAAUACAGUGAAAGACAUUAAACACAUAGUUUGAUCAAGACAAGUGAUUACCUUCUUCGACUCGGUGCAGUCACGAGCGAAGUGUCGUGAUGUGCCACAGUUGUAACAAAUCAACUUGGCAUUGUCCUUCUCACCAGCCUCUGCAACCUUCCGAGGCUCAUUAACAUUAGCAAUCUCUAUUUGUUGAGCAUUUAGACGUUCAUCUUCUAGUCCUUAAGUCCUUAAACGCUCAACCACCAGCUGCUCAGCUUUUAAGCGCUCAAGGUGAUGAAAACUAUCUUCCAAAGAUUUAAUAUUUUCAUUUUGAGCUAUGUUAACCUUGAGAUUGUUCCAAUUGUUGGGAAAUGAGCGUAUCGUUGUCCGAAUGUGUUGUUCAUCUGAGAAAGGGUUGCCAGCAGCUCCUAACGUUGCAAUCAUAUUGGUAGUUAAGAGAUGCAAUCUAGCCAUGUCUAUUUUUUUUGGGAAAAGAAAAGGGAGAGAAUUUUAUUAGAGAUAUUCAAUUAGCAGGAGCCGCGCAUGGGCAAUGCAACGCUCCGGCGCGUGUGAGCUCCAUGCGCCGCCUUCCCGACAGUUCUUCGCAGCGGUGAUUGCACAGUUCUGAUUGACUCCUUUUUCUAAGUCCAAUGGUAUGCUCAAACUCUAUUUUAAGAGCUUCCAUGAGGGAGGUGUAGUGCAUUGGAGUGAUCAUUCGGUUAUAACCGAACCGAAUAAGCUUUUCGGUUAUAACCAAAAAUCGAAUUAUUGAUAAUUUUACUAUCCGAAAUAAUAACCGAAAUUUAAAAAUAACCGAAUACCGACUAACCGAAUUGUAAUUUCGGGUAUUCGGGUAAUAGCCGAACUAACAUCCAACAUAUUUACUGAUAACUACUUAACUGUUUAACAAAUUAACUGUCCAACAAGGCAAGAACUGUUAACUUAAUUGUCCAGCAGCAAAGUAACUUAACAACAAAUGUUUAAAAAUACAGCAAGUCAGCAACAACAAGCCAACAAAUUAAUUGUCCAGUCCUUAAGACCUUAACAAAGUUAUGACUUAACAAAGCAGCAACAAGCCAACAUGACUUAACAAAGCAGCAACAAGCCAACAGAGUAGCAGGCAGGCGGCAAUAGCUAGCAGCAGACCAGCAGUCCAGCCAACAGCAACAUACAACAGCAACAGCCAACAGCAAGUCAACAACAACAACAUGAACAUGCAACACAAAUCAUGUACAUCACAUGACCAACCAGGAAAAGGAAAGAGUAUAUAAUUAGAUCCAACACCUUAGAAUGUUUAUAAAAACUGGAAUACACAUAAUGAAUUUGCAAUACCCAUUGGAUUAACUAUCAUCAUCAACCUUCAUAUACAAAACAUAUCAACUGGCCUAUAAUCAAACUCUAUUUAACAAUUUAACAAUUUAACAUAGUUGGUUUAUCAUUGAAACAAAACAAGUAUGACAAAUGCAGAAUAAGAAAUUUGGAAAAACACACUCAACUACACCACAUUACUGACCACGUGUACAAAUGCACUAUUUGACCACUUACUUAAAUUUUGUACUCUUUAAUAACACAUACCAUGUAAAUAAAGUCACUAUUUGACCACUUGGUUUUAAUUAUGGAUGUAGAACUGUGAGAUAUUUGUGAUUGCAAAUAGAAAGCUUGAAAUUCAUGGGUCUGUGACAGCUCACGACAGGCCUAGUGCAACUGAAAAUAGUGGAUUUGUGUUUAUUAAAGGGAAGGUGUAUGGAUUUGGAGAUGUGUACUUGGGUAGAUCUAAAGGAGUCUAUUCCAGGGUAGUGUUUGCACACACUUAUAUUUCAAAUACCAUUGUACCUGAAGGAUGGACCAACUGGAGAUACCCAGGCAGUACAGAGUAAGAUACUUGACUUAAAUAUUUACUAAACUUAUACCAAGCAAAGCCUAUUCCAGCAUGUUGUGAAUUGGAAACAGAAAUUACACAAAAUCUCAGAAAUUACACAUGCACAGACACAAUUACACAAAAAUAAAUACAUACACAAAUAUGUGCAUAUAAACUGAGUUAAAUAAAAAAAUAAAAAAUAAAUAAGCCACACUCUUAUAUAGCAGAAUAAGCCAACAACAUGCACUAAACUGAGUUAAAUUCGACAAAAUCAAUAGAAUCAAUCAUAUAUGGACCAUACAUGUAAAAUCAUAUAUGGACCAGACAUGUAAAAUCUGUAAAGUAUCACCUCAUUUGCUUGCAGAAAAUAGAAAUUGUGACUAAUGAACCAACAAUCUUUGAAAUUAUAAUCCUUCUAUUUUUCCAUCAAAUAUAUGUAGACAGCAGACACCCACCCACACUAAAAGCAAUCGGUCUUUGAGAAUUUAGUAAAGGAUUACCUUAACAAAUGGAAAGCUGCCGCCGGCGCCGAGAUCUGAGAGUUCGAGAUGAAGGCCGAAGGGUCGCCGGUGACGAGAGUUCGAGAGUUUGAGACUUGAGGCUUGAGAGAUCUCAGAUCUGAGACUCUGAGACUGAGAGUUUGAGAAGAGUACGAGACAGUCCAGACUUGAGACUUGAGAUGUGAGAGAGAGAUCUGAUCUGAGUCUGAGAGACGGAGACUAAGGUCUGAGAGUUCGAGAUGAAGGCCGAUGGAAAACAGAAUCUGAGCGUGAGACUUUGAGAGACUGAGACUCGGAGUCUUCAUCUUCGAGAAUCGAGAUUCGAAUAUUGAAUGGGUUAUGGGCUGACCGGCUGAGUAGUUUGUACUGUUGAAGUGUUGAGAAUUU